rnacentral:rRNA from 1 species
UACGGAGGGUGCAAGCGUUAUCCGGAUUUAUUGGGCGUAAAGAGCUCGUAGGCGGCUUGUUGCGUCGACUGUGAAAACCCGCGGCUUAACCGCGGGCUUGCAGUUGAUACGGGCAGGCUAGAGUUCGGUAGGGGAGACUGGAAUUCCUGGUGUAGCGGUGAAAUGCGCAGAUAUCAGGAGGAACACCGGUGGCGAAGGCGGGUCUCUGGGCCGAUACUGACGCUGAGGAGCGAAAGCGUGGGGAGCGAACAGG